GCGGAGGAAAAGAAAAUAACAAUGAUUCCCUCAGUAACGGCGAGUGAACAGGGAAAAGCUCACAGUUGGAACCUAGCUGCCUUAGGUAGUUCGGAUUGUAAACUGAAAAAGUGUUAUCCAGGCUAGCCGAGUAAAUAAGUUUCUUGGAAUAGAACAUCAUGGAGGGUGAGAAUCCCGUCUUUGGCUUGAGCAUAGUCUUUUGUGUUGCACUUUAACGAGUCAGGUUGUUUGGGAAUGCAGCCUAAAGUGGGAGGUAAAUCCCUCCUAAAGCUAAAUAUUGGCGAGAGACCGAUAGCAAACAAGUACCGUGAGGGAAAGAUGAAAAGAACUUUGAAAAGAGAGUUAAACAGUAUGUGAAAUUGCUAAAAGGGAAGCGUUUGAAGACAGACUAGCUUGGUUAUAAUCAGCCUGGAUUUUUCUUGGUGUACUUGUAGCCUAUGCUUGCCAACAGCAGUUUGGUCUGGCUGAAAAAACUAGUAGUAAGGUGGCUCUCUUCGGGGAGUGUUAUAGACUAUUAGAAAAUCAGUUGGACUGGACUGAGGAAUGCAAUGCAGCUUGCCUUGGGGUGAACCAGAUUGGAUAGGAACCAUUGUUCCUUGAAGGUUUGGGUAGCUCUUCGAACUGUAUUUAGGUUGUUGGCUUAAUGUCUUUAAACAGC
rnacentral:rRNA from 1 species